rnacentral:lncRNA from 1 species
CCGAGUAAGCGUUAAAUAUUUCUUGAAGAGUAAUUGACAUAAAUAUAGACUUGACUAAAACAUAAUCAGUGUUUGCAGCGGAAGGCAAGACUGAGAUACAUGUAUGCAGACACAUAUCAUUUCUGAGCCUAUUCUAAGUUCGACAAAAGCUCCACUCAGCAACACUUCAUCGUUCAUCACAGCUCAACCUGCACAUUCAUAAACAUAUGCAGGGCUAAGUACAAAAGUACUUAGUGGGCAGUUGCCAAAAACUAAAUUAUAAGCUUAACAUUUUAUCAUCAAACCACAGCAUCAUAUAAGCGACAUGAAUCUUCUUUCAAGUUCUUUGCAUACUAUCAUUUUCAAAUUCAUAAAUAGCGUAAGUGCAUUCCUCAUCAUCAAAAGUCAUAUCAAUAAGCAUCGUGUCGUGAGGAAGGCUAUCCUCAACGAACACAGGCAUCGCGCCGUGAGGGAGGCCUCCUCACCGGACACGGCAUCGUACUAUUGAGGGAGGCCUCCCCCAACAGACGCUAGCAUCGUACCGUUGAGGGAGGCCUCCCUCAACGGACGUUUGACCGGCCAACCCUCUCAUUGACCCACAGUCACGUUGCAUAUAUAUAUAUACCUGGCAAGAUAGCUAUCCGCUCAGAAAUCAAACUCGUUAACAUCAAAUAAGCAUUAGAUAAUAAGCAUAAAGCAUUAAAGCGUAACUCACAUAGGCGUUAAAUAAUAAGCGUAAAGCAUUAAAGCGUAACAAAGCGUGAACCACAUAGGCGCAUAACAAAGCGUAACUCACUUAAGCGUAAAUCACUUAAAAGCAUAACAAAGCAUAAAUAAUAAAUUAUAAAAAUUUAAGCCAUAAUUAAGCGUAAAUAGCAUAGCGUAAUUAUUAAGCGUGACAAGCGUAGAUAAUAAGAGAAUAAGUUUAACUCAUUUAAGCAUAAUAAAGCAUAACUCAUUUAAAAAUCAAAUUUUGCAUUUUAAAGCAUGAAAGUUGCAUAGUUCUUAAAUAGCAUUUUUAUUUUACGCAUAAGAAAUGCCCACCUGAAUAGCAGACUCACGGUUUAGCUCUAACUCUGGUGCUUGACCUUUAAUCCGAGAAAAUAAAAUAAGAUUCUAAUUCUCGAAAAAUCUCAAUAAAUGAGGAUGCGUGAAAUGAUUAUGCAUGACUCAUAUUCCUUUAAUUAAAUUAUGAGAUGCUAAUCCUAUUUAAGGAAUUAAAGCUCGUCUUAUGAGGUCGGAUUAUUAAUCUUUAAUAAUCUACUCAUCUUAAAAUAAUCUAAUUCACUUACUAAUUAAUAAUUAGUAAGUCUUAAAAUUUUCUCUAAUUAAACUUAAUAGAAUAAUUAUGAAGGCCCAAUUAAAAUAAAAUAAUCAAGGCCCCAUAGGAAUUUAAUUCGAGCCCAAAUGAACAAAUUCAAAGCCCAUUGCAUAAAUAACAUUAGGCCCAACAUCAAUUAAAUUCUAAAGCCCAACAAAUUAAAUGAACUAGGCCCAAUUGAGAAAGCCCAAAAUUUCGGCCCAAUCCCGGCUCAAUCCCGGCCCAAACCCGGCUCUCUUUUCUUUCAAAAUCAAUCACUAACACACACUUUUUUAAUUAAUCAUCAAAUCUCUCUUUUUUAAAGUUGUCGAUUCUCUCUAUAUAAUUUAUUAAAGCAAAAAUUCCUUCUCUCUCUUAAUCAAUUAAAACGCUGCUAUCUCUCCAAAAUUCCUCAUACAGAGCCGCUCAACAUCUCCCUCUCUCGCUCUAUCAACUCACCGCCACCAUCCCCCCCUUCUUCUUCUUCAACGGCGAGGAGCGCCGCUUCCUGCUGCUCCGGCGACUCACGGCGAGGUCGCCGCGUGGAGCUGCUGUCGCUGACUGCUGCUGUUCUGCUCUGGGCCGCGACCAGCGGCGCUUGGCCUUCGGCCGCGCCGCCCCGCUCAGCCGCCUGGAACUGCUGUUGCUCGCCCGGAGUCGCGGCUGCUGCUUCUCCUGUUGCAGAGCUCUGACAGCCACCACCGUCGUCGGCUGCCGCUGCCUCGCCCAAAGCCGACUUCUGCUGCCAAUCACCGAACGCCGCUGCUGUAGGGAGGCCAUCGCCGCUCACUGCUCUCACGCACACGUUUGUGCCGACAUGACGGAGGCAAGGGUCGAGCCAUGAUCUCUCGGCUCUGUUGCUGCUGUUCGGUUAAUGGCGAGAGACGGCAGCACACGUUGGUGCCGCCUCGUUCGUUCUCCUCCAUCUCUAGUCGUCUCUCGGCCCGACUGAAUAGGGCCGCGUCCCUCGUUGUUUAAAAGCUAAGUUUUUCAAGUUUCGAUCUCCUCUUAUUCUACGAAUUAUAGGUGCUAUGUGUGCUAAGUAAAUGGCUAUGGUCCUUUAGCGUAAAAUGGCGUAGGAUUACAUGUUGUUGGGUUUUAUAUAGAAGUAAACUGUUUAUGCAUUUCUCUUAUUGAAAUAAUCAUGCUAAUCAAUGCAUAUCUAGUGUUUCUAAGGUUGAACUUAUGCUGAUGGAAUGUGAAGCAUGUAAAUGGAACUUGAAAUAACUGAGAUGAUAAUUACCUUGAAUGGUGCUUGGUUGGAUUGCUGAAUAUUGAAUUAAAUUGAUACUUGAAAAUUUCUUUGGCAGAGAAUGAUGAAGACGUUUAAGUGUGGAAUGGGUAUGAGAAGGUUAUGCUUGGUGAUUUCUUGAUGGAAGGAGUAGAUUUGCUAUGCUUUAUACUGAACUUAUGGAGAGCUGAUUAGUGUGAACAGAUGAUGAAUAGUACGGCUGGAUUGUUGAGCGUGGUUGAAGAAUUAAAGAUGAGAUUUGCUGUUGACAUUCUUGAGAUUUGUUUGCUGAAUUCCUUUUUUGACUAUGUAGGAGAAGAAAAAGAAAAGCUAAGCACGGGUGAGCAUAUAUAAAUAGAGUGGCUGAGGGAGCAUGGCGUGCUAGAUUUAAUACACGGAAUAAUAUCUAAAUUAAUAACGUAGAUUUAAUUUUUCACAAGCCGGAAUAAAUUCACGACUCAAGAAAUAAUAAUAAAAAUAGAAAAAUAAUUCUAUUGUGAUUAAUAAAUAACAUGACUUAGCUAAGUCAGUUAUGAAUCUGAAAUGAAUAAUUAUUGGUUUACUCAAUAAUUCUCAUCGCGGUUUUACUCACGCGAAGCUAACUGGCUUAGUGAAAAAAUAAUAACCCUGCUUCAAUUAGAAUAUAAUCCAGUGUCAUAAGCUGAAUUUAAAUCAUAAAUAAUUACUGGGCUUGAUUUACUGAAAGAUUAAAUAAUAAUUAUCGUAUUACUGGAUUUAAAUAUAAUAAAAGAGCGGGCUACUACA